UGGGGGAUAUUGCACAAUGGGCGAAAGCCUGAUGCAGCGACGCCGCGUGGGGGAUGAAGGCCUUCGGGUUGUAAACUUCUUUUGCUCUGAACAAGGCAUGCUUUUGGGGUGUGUUGAGUGUAGGGGUUGAUUAGCGCCGGCUAACUACGUGCCAGCAGCCGCGGUAAUACGUAGGGCGCGAGCGUUGUCCGGAAUUAUUGGGCGUAAAGGGCUUGUAGGUGGCUGGUUGCGUCUGUCGUGAAAGCUCAUGGCUUAACUGUGGGUUUGCGGUGGGUACGGGCUGGCUUGAGUGCAGUAGGGGAGGCUGGAAUUCCUGGUGUAGCGGUGGAAUGCGCAGAUAUCAGGAGGAAUACCGGUGGCGAAGGCGGGUCUCUGGGCUGAUACUGACGCUGAGGAGCGAAAGCGUGGGGAGCGAACAGG
rnacentral:rRNA from 1 species